rnacentral:rRNA from 1 species
CACAAGCGGUGGAGCAUGUGGUUAAUUCGACGCAACGCGAAGAACCUUACCAGGGCUUGACAUCCCCUGACCGCGUAUGAAAGUACGUUUUCACCCUCGGGUGACAGGGAGACAGGUGGUGCAUGGUUGUCGUCAGCUCGUGUCGUGAGAUGUUGGGUUAAGUCCCGCAACGAGCGCAACCCCUACGUUUAGUUGCUAACGCGUGAAGGCGAGCACUCUAGACGAACUGCCGUUGACAAAACGGAGGAAGGUGGGAUGACGUCAAAUCAUCAUGCCCCUUAUGUUCUGGGCUACACACGUGCUACAAUGGCCGGUACAGACGGACGCAAAGCCGCGAGGUGGAGCAAAUCCUAAAAAGCCGGUCUCAGUUCGGAUUGCAGGCUGCAAUUCGCCUGCAUGAAGUCGGAAUCGCUAGUAAUCGCAGGUCAGCAUACUGCGGUGAAUACGUUCCCGGGCCUU